rnacentral:rRNA from 1 species
AUUGAACGCUGGCGGCAUGGUUAAAGCAUGCAAGUCGAACGCGAACCACCUUCGGGUGGGGAAAGGUGGCGAAAGGGCGAGGAAUACGAUCGAAUGUGCCCCGAGGUGGGGGAGUAGCGUCGAGAAAUCGGCGGUAAUACCCCAUGUGCUCUACGGAGGAAAGGUUUACCGCCUUGGGAGCAGCGAUCGUCCUAUCAGGUAGUUGGUGGGGUAAUGGCCUACCAAGCCGAAGACGGGUAGCGGGUGUGAGAGCAUGACCCGCCGCAUCGGAACUGAGACACUGUCCGGACUCCUACGGGAGGCUGCAGCGACGAAUAUUCCGCAAUGGGCGAAAGCCUGACGGAGCAAUGCCGCGUGUGGGAUGAAGCGCC